CCAGCUGAUAGUAGCAGAGAGGAAGGGACGGCUAACUCUGUGCCAGCAGCCGCGGUAAUACAGAGGUCCCAAGCGUUGUUCGGAUUCACUGGGCGUAAAGGGGUGCGUAGGCGGUGGGGUAAGUUUGAGGUGAAAUCUCCGGGCUCAACCCGGACAAGCCUUGAAUACUAUCCUGCUAGAGGAUCGGAGGGGAGACUGGAAUUCUCGGUGUAGCAGUGAAAUGCGUAGAUAUCGAGAGGAACACCAGUGGCGAAGGCGAGUCUCUGGACGAUACCUGACGCUGAGGCACGAAAGCCAGGGGAGCAAACGGGAUUAGAUACCCCGGUAGUCCUGGCCCUAAACGGUGCGCACUUGCUGUGGGCGGAUUCGACCCCGCCCGUGGCGAAGGAAACCCGAUAAGUGCGCCGCCUGGGGAGUACGGUCGCAAGAUUAAAACUCAAAGAAAUUGACGGGGGC
rnacentral:rRNA from 1 species